GCGGUUGGGCUGAAUGGUCAAGGCGUACGCCAUGCCAAGCGUACGCCCAAGUUCGAAUCCUGGUGAACGCA